GCCCGGAUGGUCUAGUGGUAGGAUUCCUGCUUUGGGAGAGAACAAGUUCCACUCAACUGCAGGAGGUCCCGCGUUCAAACCGCGGUUCGGGCC
rnacentral:tRNA from 1 species